rnacentral:antisense_RNA from 1 species
CUACCUUCCUAAGAGUGUUUUCUGACGGGGCUGUUCUCUGCCCACUGAAACAAAGGACCAAAGAUUUUCUCAAAAAUGUUUAAAAAUUUGACCCAUGUAACGCGGACACUCCACACUCACGGAAGUGGGCAGAAGGGGGAGGGGGAAAAAAAAGGAAAGAAAAGCUUCUUCAGCCUCGGCGCGGAGCAGCUGCUCUUCCUUACCCAGACGGGACAGUCGUGGACCACCAGCUUGACAUUCCCAAACGCACUGGCCUGAUACUCGGUGAACACCGGACGCGCGACCGUGCUGGCCGCGUUCAGCAACAAGCUGCUCUCGUCCCCGGAGACCAGAGGGCUUCUCCCCAGGUUCAGCCAUUUAGGAAAGACUGGUGACCUGUCUGCAUGAUGGCAUUAACUACAAGGAUCAUCCAAGAGCCACAGUCACAAAGCCAGUCUCUGAAUACGGUUCAAAGAAAUCUUAUAACUCUCUGAACAGAAGCAACCAAAUAUAUGGACCCCAUGACCCAGCCGUAUUAGUCUGUUCUCACACUGCUAAUAAAGACAUACCUGAAACUGUAUAAUUUAUAAAGGAAAGA